rnacentral:rRNA from 1 species
UACGGAGGGGGCUAGCGUUGUUCGGAAUUACUGGGCGUAAAGCGCACGUAGGCGGCCCAGCAAGUCGGGUGUGAAAGCCCUCGGCUUAACCGAGGAAGUGCAUUCGAAACUACUGAGCUUGAAUACUGGAGAGGAUCGCGGAAUUCCCGGUGUAGAGGUGAAAUUCGUAGAUAUCGGGAGGAACACCAAUUGCGAAGGCAGCUCGCUGGGACGUUACUGACGCUGAGACGCGAAAGCGUGGGGAGCAAACAGG